UACGUAGGGGGCAAGCGUUGUCCGGAUUUAUUGGGCGUAAAGAGCGUGUAGGCGGCCUGAUAGGUCGGUUGUGAAAACUGGAGGCUUAACCUUCAGACGUCGACCGAAACCAUCUGGCUAGAGUCCGGAAGAGGAGAGUGGAAUUCCUGGUGUAGCGGUGAAAUGCGUAGAUAUCUGGAGGAACACCGGUGGCGAAGGCGGCAUUCUGGACCGACAUUGACGCUGAGGAGCGAAAGCCAGGGGAGCAAACGGG
rnacentral:rRNA from 1 species